rnacentral:lncRNA from 1 species
AAGCAAGAGUGUGCUCUGAUGUAAUCCCAGCCCCAGAUCCAGCCCCACCUGUGAACUUUUCACUGGUUUCUUUUUUCUUGGUACUGGGAACUGAAUCCAGGGCUUCAAACAUGCUAGAUCGAAGGCCAACAAGAGGGGAAGGUGAGCCACCAGUGAGAUGCUCAGCUCCUUGGUGCUGAUCUGGACUUGGCAAGGAAUGAUAACGGUGAUCUAAUCCAGCCUGACACCAAGUUGACCUCUACUUUCAAAACUACCCAAAAUACUGGAUGAAGCAGGACAAACUGCUAUCUAUUAAUAGCAAAACUCACCCUAAGUCUACAUUGUGCUUUGAGUUAUAACUAAUAGUAGCCUGCAAUUAUAAUCUUCA